rnacentral:sRNA from 1 species
GCCGCCAGGCGCAUCUCAGUACGCACAAACAGAGCGGAACAGCGCGUGCCGCACUUCCGUGAGCACCUAGAAAAGAGCGAUGCGGAAAGGAGAGAUGCAGAAAAGCGCGAGAGCGGAAGAUCCGUAGA